GCCUAAGUAAUUUAAAUAAAAUUUUGGUCUUGUAAGCCAAAUUUGAGGAUGAAACUUCCUCCUAAGGCC